rnacentral:rRNA from 1 species
CGUAGGUGGCAAGCGUUGUCCGGAAUUAUUGGGCGUAAAGCGCGCGCAGGCGGUCCCUUAAGUCUGAUGUGAAAGCCCACGGCUCAACCGUGGAGGGUCAUUGGAAACUGGGGACUUGAGUGCAGAAGAGGAAAGUGGAGUUCCAUGUGUAGCGGUGAAAUGCGUAGAGAUGUGGAGGAACACCAGUGGCGAAGGCGACUUUCUGGUCUGUAACUGACGCUGAGGCGCGAAAGCGUGGGAGCAAACAGGAUU